CCUUGGUCUCCCAGUAGCCGCCCUUGUAGACGUGCAUGGUCUCUCCCGAGGUGGGGUCGUCGACCUUCUCGAACCACAGCGAUUGGUAGCUGUCUGGAUGGACGGCUGAGGGAAGAGCAAGAGGAACGCCGUCACUUGCAUUAAUACCGACAGUUGAAUAAGAACGUUAGGGAGCUACUUGCAUGUGAGAGGAGGAAGAAGAAGAGGAGGAGGAGGAGAAGCAGUGUGAAGGUUAGGAGCGUCCUCCGUGUCAGCUGAACGUCAGCACACACAAACAUGGAUCGUCAAAACAUCAGCAGUCGGUCACGUGACUAUUACGCGACUACGCUACGGUGAUCGUCGUUAAAAAUGCGACACCGCACAUCCCUUCUAAUACGAACGUACGCUACGAGGCUACGUGGCGAUACUUGCUUUCAUCCGAAAUCUCACUGGCUUCCGUUCCGAUCUCAUCCGCUUCGGCUAGAACCGCAAACAAGACGACGGUGAGGGAUGACAACACGCGAGCCAUGAAAUUUAUUAGCUAGCUAGCUAGAAAGUGACAUCGCUAUCUUGGAAAGAGUGCUAGACGGCCGCCUCGAACGAUCGAUUGUCAUGAUUAUCGAUCGAGUCGAGCUGCCUAGAAAGACACAAAACUACUACCGUAAAAUGAUGACCAAAACAUACUUUACAUGCUACAUACACCAAGCACUGACGACCACUAGGGGGAGCCCUUGUACCACUUUUGGGCAAUCAGGACAAUGAGUACUUGCUUUUCAAAGGCGAGUCACGGUUUGAAUCCUGAGAGGAAGCUUAGUGAUGGGACACAAACAUGCAAAGAGGAGACAAAGAGACACAACGCGGACAUAAAUGUCCCGACUUUGUUUUCGCCCUGAUCAUCAGCGUCCAUGCAUUGGGCCACGUGUCAAUCCGGCUUCUUACCUUCGUCGGGCGCGUCGGCCGCCUUGACGACCUCCCGCUCUCUUUCCCGACGAGCCGUCCGCUGCUUCUCCUCCAGCCUCUGCUUCUCGGCGUUGGCCUCGUCCCAGCGACCCUCUUCCAUGAGACGCUGGUCGGGGCGCCGCCGGCUGUCGGUGGGCGCCACGUCUUCCUCGGGUUCGUUGAGCGUCAGCGCCAGCGUGGAGAAGAAGUACAUGCUCUCUGCUCCCUCUCUGCAGAAAGGAAACAUCUCAGGCCGUCUGCAACUAUUUGCUCCGGCAGCGUAACGUACGGCAAAGGGUUCUUCCUCCAUAUCUCCUUGGCUUUGAGAGUCUGGUAGACGGUCCUCUGCUUGCCCUCGGCGCCGUUUGCGCUCUUGCUGCUCUGCAUGAUCCUGGAGAACUCCAUCUUCUCAUCCCACGUGCCCGACAGCACGUAAUGCGCCUUGCCGUCUUUGUCCGUCACCACGCCCGUCACCUGCCCGCGCAGAAACAGGACGUCUCGAUAGCGUUCUUGCCAGAGGUCGUAAAUAGAGAAUGGACGAGUCACCUUUCGUGGCACAUCUCUGGAGAAGUAACUGUAGGGAGUGAACUUCAAGUGGCAGCGAUCGCCCGUCUUGUGGUUGAUCACAUCGAUCUCCCCUGACUGAAAGGGGAAAAAAUAAAAUGUGUUCAAAAAGU